UACGUAGGGGGCUAGCGUUGUCCGGAAUCAUUGGGCGUAAAGAGCGUGUAGGCGGUCCGGUAAGUCCGUUGUGAAAGUCAGGGGCUCAACCCUUGAAUGCCGGCGGAUACUGUCGGGCUAGAGUCCGGAAGAGGCGAGUGGAAUUCCCGGUGUAGCGGUGAAAUGCGCAGAUAUCAGGAGGAACACCGAUUGCGAAGGCAGCUCGCUGGGACGUAACUGACGCUGAGACGCGAAAGCGUGGGGGAGCAAACAGGG
rnacentral:rRNA from 1 species